CAAACCAGAAAUAUUCAAUCAUGAUAUUAAGCAUUAAAUUAAUUAACCACAAUUUAAAUGCAAAGGUAGCUUUUCAUAAUCAUAAAACAUACUCAACAAAAUUUCCAUAUUCAUCGUACAAUAAAGAAAAAGUAAGCUUCUCAUAUCUUAGCCAAUUAUAAAGCUUUAACUAUAAAGAUCAAUCAAUCACAAACCCUUCUCCU
rnacentral:lncRNA from 1 species